GAGAAGUGGCGGAAAGGAGGUCGGCAAUGGUGCCGCUGGCUGUGAAGGCCGUACUGGGCAAGCUCAGGGUCUUCGACCUGCACGUGGCAGAGGGCGAAGACGGGGGCACUGUAGCCGAGAAACAUGAGCGGCUGAGCAAUAGCGGAGGCGAUAAACGGUGGUGGAACUUUGCACGUUGUACAGGUUGGAAGAGAGUGACCUUGCAGAAAGAAUAAUAGUUUUUGCUCUGACGAAGCAAUCUGUUCAUCUCACACUCGAUUCUCUGAACGUCUUCGAACGUGAAGAAGCUGAGAGCAACCCUCAGUGCCAGCGUCUUCAGAUGAAAGAUCUCAUAAUCUCUGACAAAGUACCCUCUGCUGCUGGAGAACAUCAUCAAGCACACCGAUGGGGAGACUUUGGAGCACAAGAAGCUGUGUUGGGCCUGGGACCAGUGUCGUGAGAUCCUCCGAUACGUGAACGAGGCGGUAAAGCUGGCGGAAAACCAGCAGCGCCUGGAUGCCACCUCUCUGGAGCGUACCAGCAACCGAACUGUGGAACAGCCUACCUGAGGAGAUACGCCUGGCGCCUACGGUACUUUCUUUUAGAUGCCAGGUUAAGACCUGGCUAUACUCCCAGGCAUUUUAAUGUUCAAUGUUUCAUAUUCAAUGUUUUUAGUUUAACUU